CGAGAACAUGCUAUGUCACCUGUUGAAGCUGUUGUCCUUGGGCAUUACAUUGUUAAACAUGAACUGAAGAAAAAGGAGCCAUCUUCUGGAAUUAGCGUUACUUGCUAUGUCGUUUAUUGCAGGUCCUAGCAGCGGUUUGGAAGACCUGGAAUCCCGAGCCCAAAAUGUGACAGCAUUCCUCAGAGAAGUCAACUGGGCUGCACUGAUAUAGAGAGAAAAAAUCAUCUCACCUACCUUAGGCAGCUUUUUUAGGAUGGAAUGAAACUUUCAGUGGAAGUGCCUCUCUCAUCACAUCAUUAACUACAAAGAGAGAGAACACUGAAUAACCAACUAUGAAUAAUGUUUAAAUAACAAAAUAAGGUGAUAUAAUUCCCAUUUUUGAUGCCAGGAUGAAAAGCAGAAUUUUUUGAAUCAGCUCUCAUGUCUGUCAUAUUCUUAUAAUACUAUAAGAACUCAUUUUCUAAUUGCUUCAAAUUUUAAUUAUGUUUAAAUUGAACAUUUUAGCAUUUAAUUUUUAGUUUUGUUCAAAGAUGAUUAUCAAAAUAGAAAUUAAUUUUAAGAAUAUUAGCUUACUCUUCACUGGCAAUAUGUACAGAUACAGGUGAAUUACUUAUACGUUUGUACAAUCAAUAUUUUUGUUAUUGCAGGCCAGAAAAAAGAUGAAAAAUUGAAAAAUGCAGCUGUUCUGAAACCAAAAUACUUCUCACAGUCCUGUCAGGUUUACUGAGAUUAAAUUUUGGCAAAUAGGAAGGGAUAUUCUGACAUUGCCAAACUGUCCUGUUUUAUAAUUUUGGAACCAGUCAUCGGAUAUUUCCUUUCAGAAUGGUCUUUCAUGUUUAAUAUUCUUAUGAUGUGUUUCAUUUUGUGUUCUCUAUAUAAUUAAAAAGUCAAUCAGAAUCAAGUGUUUCUCUCUGAAACAUUUUAGUUGAUAUGAGAUAUUUUUCUUAAAACUUUCUCCUCCAGAUAAUUUCAAAAUUUUCGGAAGUCAUGCCUAACUGAAACAGGACCAAACCUGAAAAUCCUCUGCAGAUUUAUCUUCUGCAUAGAUAUGAUUUAUUGUUGAUCUCCCACCAAGAGUGUGUCAGCCAUAAACCUCUUAAAAAGCUGAAAUUAAAAAGGAUUCACUGUU
rnacentral:lncRNA from 1 species